rnacentral:misc_RNA from 1 species
AACAAGGCGUACCUGCGGACCUGCGGAAGGAUCAUUACAUGGCGGAGAGGGUGGGCACCUGGCAAACUCCAGGUUGUGAUGCCUUCACGCUCUUCCACCCUUGUCUAUUUGCACCUUCUGUCGUUCCCUCGGCGGGUUUCGACCCGCCGGCGGCAACAUUGAAAAACCUUUUUUGCAGUUAGCAUCCAAUUCUUCUGAUCAAAAUAUCAAAUCGUUACAACUUUCAACAAUGGAUCUCAG